GGUUAAGCGACUAAGCGUACACGGUGGAUGCCCUGGCAGUCAGAGGCGAUGAAGGACGUGCUAAUCUGCGAAAAGCGACGGCGAGGUGAUAUGAACCUUUGACCCGUCGAUGUCCGAAUGGGGAAACCCAGUGUGUUUCGACACACUAUCGUUAACUGAAUACAUAGGUUAACGAGGCGAACCGGGGGAACUGAAACAUCUAAGUACCCCGAGGAAAAGAAAUCAACCGAGAUUCCCCCAGUAGCGGCGAGCGAACGGGGAGCAGCCCGGAGUCUGAAUCAGCUUGUGUGUUAGUGGAAGCGUCUGGAAAGUCGCACGGUACAGGGUGACAGUCCCGUACACGAAAAUGCACAGGUUGUGAACUCGAAGAGUAGGGCGGGACACGUGGUAUCCUGUCUGAAUAUGGGGGGACCAUCCUCCAAGGCUAAAUACUCCUGACUGACCGAUAGUGAACCAGUACCGUGAGGGAAAGGCGAAAAGAACCCCGGCGAGGGGAGUGAAAAAGAACCUGAAACCGUGUACGUACAAGCAGUGGGAGCACCUUCGGGUGUGACUGCGUACCUUUUGUAUAAUGGGUCAGCGACUUAUAUUCUGUAGCAAGGUUAACCGUAUAGGGGAGCCGCAGGGAAACCGAGUCUUAACUGGGCGUUAAGUUGCAGGGUAUAGACCCGAAACCCGGUGAUCUAGCCAUGGGCAGGUUGAAGGUUGGGUAACACUAACUGGAGGACCGAACCGACUAAUGUUGAAAAAUUAGCGGAUGACCUGUGGCUGGGGGUGAAAGGCCAAUCAAACCGGGAGAUAGCUGGUUCUCCCCGAAAGCUAUUUAGGUAGCGCCUCGUGAACUCAUCUUCGGGGGUAGAGCACUGUUUCGGCUAGGGGGCCAUCCCGGCUUACCAACCCGAUGCAAACUACGAAUACCGAAGAAUGUUAUCACGGGAGACACACGGCGGGUGCUAACGUCCGUCGUGAAGAGGGAAACAACCCAGACCGCCAGCUAAGGUCCCAAAGUCAUGGUUAAGUGGGAAACGAUGUGGGAAGGCACAGACAGCCAGGAUGUUGGCUUAGAAGCAGCCAUCAUUUAAAGAAAGCGUAAUAGCUCACUGGUCGAGUCGGCCUGCGCGGAAGAUGUAACGGGGCUAAACCAUGCACCGAAGCUGCGGCAGCGACGCUUAUGCGUUGUUGGGUAGGGGAGCGUUCUGUAAGCCGUCGAAGGUGUGCUGUGAGGCAUGCUGGAGGUAUCAGAAGUGCGAAUGCUGACAUAAGUAACGAUAAAGCGGGUGAAAAGCCCGCUCGCCGGAAGACCAAGGGUUCCUGUCCAACGUUAAUCGGGGCAGGGUGAGUCGACCCCUAAGGCGAGGCCGAAAGGCGUAGUCGAUGGGAAACAGGUUAAUAUUCCUGUACUUGGUGUUACUGCGAAGGGGGGACGGAGAAGGCUAUGUCAGCCGGGCGACGGUUGUCCCGGUUUAAGCGUGUAGGUGUGUGUUCCAGGCAAAUCCGGUUCACUUUAACACUGAGGCGUGAUGACGAGGCACUACGGUGCUGAAGUGAUAAAUGCCCUGCUUCCAGGAAAAGCCUCUAAGCAUCAGGUAACACGAAAUCGUACCCCAAACCGACACAGGUGGUCAGGUAGAGAAUACCAAGGCGCUUGAGAGAACUCGGGUGAAGGAACUAGGCAAAAUGGUGCCGUAACUUCGGGAGAAGGCACGCUGAUAUGUAGGUGAAGUCCCUGCGGACGGAGCUGAAAUCAGUCGAAGAUACCAGCUGGCUGCAACUGUUUAUUAAAAACACAGCACUGUGCAAACACGAAAGUGGACGUAUACGGUGUGACGCCUGCCCGGUGCCGGAAGGUUAAUUGAUGGGGUUAGCGGCAACGCGAAGCUCUUGAUCGAAGCCCCGGUAAACGGCGGCCGUAACUAUAACGGUCCUAAGGUAGCGAAAUUCCUUGUCGGGUAAGUUCCGACCUGCACGAAUGGCGUAAUGAUGGCCAGGCUGUCUCCACCCGAGACUCAGUGAAAUUGAACUCGCUGUGAAGAUGCAGUGUACCCGCGGCAAGACGGAAAGACCCCGUGAACCUUUACUAUAGCUUGACACUGAACACUGGUCCUUGAUGUGUAGGAUAGGUGGGAGGCUUUGAAGCGUGGACGCCAGUCUGCGUGGAGCCGUCCUUGAAAUACCACCCUUUAAUGGCUGGUGUUCUAACGUGGACCCGUAAUCCGGGUUGCGGACAGUGUCUGGUGGGUAGUUUGACUGGGGCGGUCUCCUCCCAAAGAGUAACGGAGGAGCACGAAGGUUAGCUAAUCCUGGUCGGACAUCAGGAGGUUAGUGCAAUGGCAUAAGCUAGCUUGACUGCGAGAGUGACGGCUCGAGCAGGUGCGAAAGCAGGUCAUAGUGAUCCGGUGGUUCUGAAUGGAAGGGCCAUCGCUCAACGGAUAAAAGGUACUCCGGGGAUAACAGGCUGAUACCGCCCAAGAGUUCAUAUCGACGGCGGUGUUUGGCACCUCGAUGUCGGCUCAUCACAUCCUGGGGCUGAAGUAGGUCCCAAGGGUAUGGCUGUUCGCCAUUUAAAGUGGUACGCGAGCUGGGUUUAGAACGUCGUGAGACAGUUCGGUCCCUAUCUGCCGUGGGCGCUGGAGAAUUGAGGGGGGCUGCUCCUAGUACGAGAGGACCGGAGUGGACGCAUCACUGGUGUUCGGGUUGUCAUGCCAAUGGCACUGCCCGGUAGCUAAAUGCGGAAGAGAUAAGUGCUGAAAGCAUCUAAGCACGAAACUUGCCCCGAGAUGAGUUCUCCCUGAGACUUUAAGUCUCCUGAAGGAACGUUGAAGACGACGACGUUGAUAGGCCGGGUGUGUAAGCGCAGCGAUGCGUUGAGCUAACCGGUACUAAUGAACCGUGAGGCUUAACCUU
rnacentral:rRNA from 1 species